rnacentral:misc_RNA from 1 species
AAAAUGCGAUAAGUAGUGUAAAUUGCAGAAUUUAGUAAAUCAUCAAAUCUUUAAACGCACAUUGCGCCCUUUAGUAUUCCUUAGGGCAUGCCUGUUCAAGCGUCAUCUAAACCUUCAAGCACUGCUUAGUGUUGGGUGCCUGUCCCGCCCCCGCGCGUAGACUCACCUUAAAUCCAUUGGCGGCCCUCACGUCAGCUACGAGCGCAGCAGAAACGCAAACUUGUAGACCCAGCGGAGUGGCUCCCAGAAGCUACAUUCACCAUUUUAACCUCAGAUCAGGUAGAGAUACCCGCUAAACUUAA